UAAUACAACUGUGUAUACCAAAGGCAGUAAAGUAUUAAGAACACCUUCGACAGUUUUGGUAGGCCCGAGCACUGUAUAAUUAGAGAUGGGGCAAUUUUCUCAUUAUUUACACAGUUGAAAUGCACUGUUGAUGUUAUGGUGCAAUAUUAUUGACACAACUGCAGACACACACAAUCCUCACUUGGAAGGAUGCUGCAGGACCAGAAAAAUUACGGUGCAAGCUGAAACUGAACAAGGCAAUCUGAUCAAUCAAUGGGGAAAAUACCCUUGUCCAGUGACAUCCAAAUUUUUUCAUCAAAACAUUAAAAACUCUCUUACUUGCAAUUUAAAAUACAUAGAAAACUUAAAAAGAGCAAGGCUGAUAUUUAUUUAGUAUACUGUAAGUAAAAGCAUUGAGAAUUAAAUGUGAUUUUUAAAAGAUCAAUCAUAUUAAGAGUAGUUUGACAUCUUGCCAUUUGUGACAACACGGAUGGACCUCGAGGGUAUUACGCUAAGAGAAAUAAGUCAGACAGAGAAAGAGAAAUACCAUAUGAUUUCACUCAUGUGUGGAAGAUAAACAACCAAACACAUAGACACAGAGAACCAACUGAUGGUUACCAGAGGGGAACGGGGUUGAGGGAGGGUAAAAGGGCACAUGGGUACAACGACGGAUGGCAACUAGACUUCUGGUGGGGAACACGAUGUAAUCAAUACAGAAAGUGAAAUAUAAUGCUGUGCACCUGACAUCCACACAAUGCUAUAAAGCAACGUUACCUCAAUAAAAAAGAGCAGUUUCAACAGUGCUUACCUCUUCGCAUUGUAUAUUUUCUAUGACUUGAUGGAUUGCCCUAGUCCUUUCUAACUUUUGAUCAGCUUUCAACAUUGCAUUCUUCGCACUUUCACUGUCGUGUGAUGUUUCAGAGUUCCCUUAACGUCCAAGUUUUCACCAGCGUCACCUCCCCUGGGACGUCUUCAGCCUGGGCUCGUUCAUGUUGGUAAGCUCGCCUUCAUGAAGCUCCUCUGGUCACACACCUACAGUGUCUCAAACAGCAUCAUCCUACCCCUGCUCAGCUGUCUCCUAAUCACAUCCAAGCUCACUUCUCGCAUCAUCACUUUUCACUUCUUUGCUGCAUUUCCAUCUUUCUUGGGCAAUUCCCUCUUUCGAUUAUCCAUUUCAGGGGGGAGACAAGAUGGCAACAAAACAACACAUUUUGUCGUCUGUGUGACGUGAAAAACAGAUAUGCCCUGAGUAACCACCGACAGAUCGCUGUUGUCACUGAUCAUGAUGUGCCUUCUUGAUCUAGGUAGUGAUCUGCAGACUGAACAGGUAGCAGAAACUUUGAACAGGAGAAUACAGUCCACCAAAAAAGCAGCCGACUGAUAAGACUCCACUCAGAGAACGCCCAGCCGCGCACUGCGGUCCCCAAAGGCAGCUGCCGUCAAGGACUCAGCUCCGCUGACCGUCAAGCUCUUCUCAGUGUUGACAGCCACAGGUCUCUAUCUGAGGCCUUGGGCAGAGGUCUUCUUCAGGAGCCCCUGCUGAGGGGUCCUCACGGG
rnacentral:lncRNA from 1 species